UGGGGAAUUUUGGACAAUGGGGGAAACCCUGAUCCAGCCAUUCCGCGUGAGUGAAGAAGGCCUUCGGGUUGUAAAGCUCUUUUGUCCGGAACGAAACGGGCGAGGUGAAUAUCCUCGUCUACUGACGGUACCGGAAGCAUAAGCACCGGCUAACUACGUGCCAGCAGCCGCGGUAAUACGGAGGGUGCGAGCGUUAAUCGGAAUUACUGGGCGUAAAGCGUGCGCAGGCGGCUUUGCAAGACAGAUGUGAAAUCCCCGGGCUUAACCUGGGAACUGCAUUUGUGACUGCAUGGCUGGAGUGCGGCAGAGGGGGAUGGAAUUCCGCGUGUAGCAGUGAAAUGCGUAGAUAUGCGGAGGAACACCGAUGGCGAAGGCAAUCCCCUGGGCCUGCACUGACGCUCAUGCACGAAAGCGUGGGGAGCAAAC
rnacentral:rRNA from 1 species